UACGUAGGGGGCAAGCGUUGUCCGGAAUUACUGGGCGUAAAGCGCGCGUAGGCGGCUUCGUAAGUCGGGUGUGAAAGCCCCGGGCUCAACCUGGGAACGGCACUCGAUACUGCGGAGCUCGAGUACGAGAGAGGGGGGUGGAAUUCCAGGUGUAGCGGUGAAAUGCGUAGAUAUCUGGAGGAACACCGGUGGCGAAGGCGGCGUUCUGGACUGUAACUGACACUGAAAAACGAAAGCCAGGGGAGCAAACGGG
rnacentral:rRNA from 1 species